GAUGAACGCUGGCGGCGUGCCUAAUACAUGCAAGUCGAGCGAACGGACGAGAAGCUUGCUUCUCUGAUGUUAGCGGCGGACGGGUGAGUAACACGUGGAUAACCUACCUAUAAGACUGGGAUAACUUCGGGAAACCGGAGCUAAUACCGGAUAAUAUUUUGAACCGCAUGGUUCAAAAGUGAAAGACGGUCUUGCUGUCACUUAUAGAUGGAUCCGCGCUGCAUUAGCUAGUUGGUAAGGUAACGGCUUACCAAGGCAACGAUGCAUAGCCGACCUGAGAGGGUGAUCGGCCACACUGGAACUGAGCCACGGCCCAGACUCCUACGGGAGGCAGCGGUAGGGAAUCUUCCGCAAUGGGCGAAAGCCUGCCGGAGCAACGCCGCGUGAGUGAGGAAGGUCUUCGGAUCGUAAAACUCUGUUAUUAGGGAAGACCAUAUGUGUAAGUAACUGUGCACAUCGUGACGGUACCUAAUCAGAAAGCCACGGCUAACUACGUG
rnacentral:rRNA from 1 species